rnacentral:rRNA from 1 species
GAGUUUUGAUCAUGGCUCAGGAUGAACGCUAGCUACAGGCUUAACACAUGCAAGUCGAGGGGCAGCAUGGUCUUAGCUUGCUAAGGCUGAUUGGCGACCGGCGCACGGGUGAGUAACACGUAUCCAACCUGCCGUCUACUCUUGGCCAGCCUUCUGAAAGGAAGAUUAAUCCAGGAUGGGAUCAUGAGUUCACAUGUCCGCAUGAUUAAAGGUAUUUUCCGGUAGACGAUGGGGAUGCGUUCCAUUAGAUAGUAGGCGGGGUAACGGCCCACCUAGUCAACGAUGGAUAGGGGUUCUGAGAGGAACGGUCCCCCACAUUGGAACUGAGACACGGUACCAAACUCCGUACGGGAGGCAGCA